GUAGAGGGAAUGAGUCAGGCUCCGGCUCCACACUGGCACGUAGUGGGCGGAUCGCGCCGGCGCUGAGUAGGAAGGAGCUUCAGCCGCCAGCCCGGAACGCAUCAUAGGUUAGCUUUUCAAGACACUUCCUGCAUCUCUGACCUGUUGCACCUCUGUUAUCUUGGCACCUCUGUUAUCUUAGCAGCAAGCACCUGCCUCAGCUGACCCUUGAGCCAUAACCCAUGUAAGUCACUGCAGGGCUGAACCUCUCUUUGAGCCUAACAGUAGAAUAAUAAUUAUUUUUGUUGAAUAGUGUUAAUGUGUGAAUGUUGAAAUGUGCCUCAGUGUGUCUUCCUCAACCACAUCCCUAUAGAGGAUGUUUUCUUAAUAGCAAUGUGUUUUUGUUUUAAGAAAGUCCACACAAUUUCAAAUACACAUUUUCUUUACUAAAGUUUAUUGACCAGUUUUGAAGUGAUCCUUGUUUUCAGUUAAACUAUCUUUAAUAAUGGUAAAUAACAUUUUGUAGGUUGUUGUAUAUUUAAUAUUCUCUGCAAGAACACAUAAGGAACAAUAC
rnacentral:sRNA from 1 species